rnacentral:lncRNA from 1 species
AGUGCCAAGAGAAAUCCCCUAGGAUCAAGAUUUUUCUCACAAGGGGAGAUGAUACCAUAGUGAGUGUCCAGCUUCCCCAGCUGUGCAGAAUGCUGCCAAAGAAGCCCACAUUUUUCCUGACCUUACCCAGGUUACUAAGGUAAUCAGCACAACUGAGAAGCUGGAAGAGGCUGGGAACAGCAACCAGCAAGCACUUUAUGGAACUUAAGAAAGGAAGACCCCACAAGUGGACGAAGCUGAGUUAUGUUCUGCUCCCCCCACCCAGAUACAUACAACAGGACUGCCUAUCACAUGCCAACCAGUGCAACUGAAGGAGUCAUGACUACAGUGAUUUAAUGUGGACUUAGGUGGGCUUCACACAAAAACAAGUGGAUUUAUCUCCUGCCCCACCCCCAGGCUUCUUGGAUGACCCACAAUGAAGGACUCCAAAGGAACGUGCUCAAGGGCCGACACAUGUGCAAACCAGAGUGCUGGAGAAUGAACAACUCAUGGGCAAACAUUUGACAAGUGGGAGACAGACCUGAUGGAUAAAGGCUUCUCCCUUUCCCACUCUCCCCUCCUCACCACAAUGGAUGGUCCUGAAAUACAUUUCAUAUGGCUUCUCUGACAGUCUUGAGACAUAUUUCCUUUGGCUUCACGGAAGUUUCUGUGGGAUUAAGCAACCAGCCAACUAAAAGCAGCAGCCAUCCUUGCCUGAGCCUGGACGUGGGAGCCUGGCUGGGAGCUCACCCAUGGCCCCUCCUUGCGUUGUCAAUUUAUUAACCAAUAACCAGCAAAAUAACCAAUUAAAGACUAUGAAAACUUUAUUUAAAAAAAUAGCAAUAAAAUAAAAUAAAAGCAGCAGCCAGCUCAAUAAGGCAUUUUAGUAUUGGCUCUCCCUCCUUACCCCCUUCACUCUUAUCUCUCAUUCCCUCUCCCUGGGAUCAUGCUCCUCAGAAAGUACUAAUGCAUAAGCCCUCAUCACAAGCCCUGUGGAAACAGGGCUAAGGCAGGUAAUAGCUGACAUGCUUUAAAGUGCAUGUGCCCGGCCUGGCCAUCUCACUCUCUGAAAUCUAUCCUGCAGACAAGCUUGCUAAAGUGUUUCAGAAACACAUGUACAAGGAUGUUCACCUGAAGUAUUUUAUGUAAUAGGUAGAGAGGAUCACACUACUAUAGUAUUAAAUGAAAAGAAGGCUGGGCACUGUGGCUCAUGCCUAUAAUCCCAGGACUUUGGGAG